UACGUAGGGUGCAAGCGUUAAUCGGAAUUACUGGGCGUAAAGCGUACGCAGGCGGCUUUGCAAGACAGGUGUGAAAUCCCCGGGCCUAACCUGGGAACUGCAUUUGUGACUGCAUGGCUAGAGUUUGUCAGAGGGGGGUGGAAUUCCACGUGUAGCAGUGAAAUGCGUAGAUAUGUGGAGGAACACCGAUGGCGAAGGCAGCCCCCUGGGAUGUGACUGACGCUCAUGCACGAAAGCGUGGGGAGCAAACAGG
rnacentral:rRNA from 1 species